GAAGAUGCGGAGUUCCCGCGGUCAGACGGAAAGACCCCGUGCACCUUUACUACAGCUUCGCAGUGGCAUUAGUGGCGAUAUGUGUAGGAUAGGCGGGAGGCUUUGAAACCAGAGCGCCAGUUCUGGUGGAGCCGUCCUUGAAAUACCGCCCUUAUCCUCAUUGAUGUCUAACCGCGGUCCGUGAACCCGGAUCCGGGACCCUGCGUGGUGGGUAGUUUGACUGGGGCGGUCGCCUCC
rnacentral:rRNA from 1 species